AUUGAACGCUGGCGGCAGGCUUAACACAUGCAAGUCGAGCGAGCGGCGGACGGGUGAGUAAUGUCUGGGAAACUGCCUGAUGGAGGGGGAUAACUACUGGAAACGGUAGCUAAUACUGCAUACCAUCAGAUGUGCCCAGAUGGGAUUAGCUAGGAGGUGGGGUAAUGGCUCACCUAGGCGACGAUCCCUAGCUGGUCUGAGAGGAGUACCAGCCACACUGCAACUGAGACACGGUCACGACUCGUACGUGAGGCGGCGUUGGGGAAUAUGGUACAAUGGGAGCAGGCCUGAUGCAGCCAUGCCGCGUGGAUGAAGAAGGCCUUCGGGUUGUAAAGCACUUUCAGCGGGGAGGCGUUACUCGCAGAAGAAGCACCGGCUAACUCCGUGCCAGCCGCCGCGGUAAUUC
rnacentral:rRNA from 1 species